GAUGAACGCUGGCGGCGUGCCUAAUACAUGCCAGUCGAGCGAACGGACGAGAAGCUUGCUUCUCUGAUGUUAGCGGCGGACGGGUGAGUAACACGUGGAUAACCUACCUAUAAGACUGGGAUAACUUCGGGAAACCGUAGCUAAUACCGGAUAAUAUUUUGAACCGCAUGGUUCAAAAGUGAAAGACGGUCUUGCUGUCACUUAUAGAUGGAUCCGCGCUGCAUUAGCUAGUUGGUAAGGUAACGGCUUACCAAGGCAACGAUGCAUAGCCGACCUGAGAGGGUGAUCGGCCACACUGGAACUGAGACACGGUCCAGACUCCUACGGGAGGCAGCAGUAGGGAAUCUUCCGCAAUGGGCGAAAGCCUGACGGAGCAACGCCGCGUGAGUGAUGAGGGUCUUCGGAUCGUAAAACUCUGUUAUUAGGGAAGAACAUAUGUGUAAGUAACUGUGCACAUCUUGACGGUACCUAAUCAGAAAGCCACGGCUAACUACGUG
rnacentral:rRNA from 1 species